UACGGAGGGUGCAAGCGUUAUCCGGAUUCACUGGGUUUAAAGGGUGCGUAGGUGGGUUGGUAAGUCAGUGGUGAAAUCUCCGUGCUUAACAUGGAAACUGCCAUUGAUACUACUGAUCUUGAAUUUUCGGGAGGUAAGCGGAAUAUGUCAUGUAGCGGUGAAAUGCUUAGAUAUGACAUAGAACACCAAUUGCGAAGGCAGCUUACUACAGGAAUAUUGACACUGAUGCACGAAAAGCGUGGGGAUCAAACAGG
rnacentral:rRNA from 1 species